UACGGAGGGUGCGAGCGUUGUCCGGAAUCACUGGGCGUAAAGGGCGCGUAGGCGGCAUGCCAAGCGUGUGGUGAAAGCCCGGGGCUCAACCCCGGGUCGGCCGUGCGGACUGGCGUGCUCGAGCACUGUAGGGGCGGGUGGAAUUCCGGGUGUAGCGGUGGAAUGCGUAGAGAUCCGGAAGAACACCGGUGGCGAAGGCGGCCCGCUGGGCAGUUGCUGACACUGAGGCGCGACAGCGUGGGGAGCAAACAGG
rnacentral:rRNA from 1 species